rnacentral:rRNA from 1 species
CCGUAGCCCAAGAGAUCGGGAUAACACCUGGAAACAGAUGCUAAUACCGGAUAACAACAGAUGAUGCCUAUCAACUGUUUAAAAGAUGGUUCUGCUAUCACUCGUGGAUGGACCUGCGGUGCAUUAGCUAGUUGGUAGGGUAACGGCCUGCCAAGGCGAUGAUGCAUAGCCGAGUUGAGAGACUGAUCGGCCACAUUGGGACUGAGACACGGCCCAAACUCCUACGGGAGGCAGCAGGC